GAUGAACGCUGGCGGCGUGCCUAAUACAUGCAAGUCGAGCGAAUGGAUUAAGAGCUUGCUCUUAUGAAGUUAGCGGCGGACGGGUGGGUAACACGUGGGUAACCUGCCCAUAAGACUGGGAUAACUCCGGGAAACCGGGGCUAAUACCGGAUAACAUUUUGAACCGCAUGGUUCGAAAUUGAAAGGCGGCUUCGGCUGUCACUUAUGGAUGGACCCGCGUCGCAUUAGCUAGUUGGUGAGGUAACGGCUCACCAAGGCAACGAUGCGUAGCCGACCUGAGAGGGUGAUCGGCCACACUGGGACUGAGACACGGCCCAGACUCCUACGGGAGGCAGCAGUAGGGAAUCUUCCGCAAUGGACGAAAGUCUGACGGAGCAACGUCGCGUGAGUGAUGAAGGCUUUCGGGUCGUAAAACUCUGUUGUUAGGGAAGAACAAGUGCUAGUUGAAUAAGCUGGCACCUUGACGGUACCUAACCAGAAAGCCACGGCUAACUACGUGCCAGCAGCCGCAGUAA
rnacentral:rRNA from 1 species